rnacentral:rRNA from 1 species
CGUAGGGGGCAAGCGUUGUCCGGAAUCAUUGGGCGUAAAGCGCGUGUAGGCGGCCAGAAAAGUCCGCUGUGAAAACUCGAGGCUCAACUUCGAGCUGUCGGUGGAAACUUUCUGGCUAGAGUCCGGAAGAGGAGAAUGGAAUUCCUGGUGUAGCGGUGAAAUGCGCAGAUAUCAGGAAGAACACCCGUGGCGAAGGCGGUUCUCUGGGACGGUACUGACGCUGAGACGCGAAAGCGUGGGGAGCGAACAGGAUUAGAUACCCUGGUAGUCCACGCCGUAAACGAUGGGUGCUAGGUGUGGGCGGUGUCGACUCCGUCCGUGCCGAAGCUAACGCAUUAAGCACCCCGCCUGGGGAGUACGGUCGCAAGGCUA